CAAAAGGUGUCAUUGCAUACCAGUGGGAACCAAUAUCUAUGAAAGAUUUAAAAAGUAUAAAGGAAGCAGUAGUCUCUUAUGGCAUGCACUCACCAUAUGUGAAGCAAUUAGUAGAAUCAUGGGCAAGGAAUAACAAGGUAACCCCUAAGGAUUGGGAUCAAUUAAUAUCAGCUG